AGAGUGAACGUUGGCGGCGUGGAUUAGGCAUGACAAGUCGAGCGAUCGUAGCAAUACGGGAGCGGCAAACGGGGUAGGAAUACAUCGGAACGUACCUUUUGGUUGAGAAUAGCGUUGGGAAACUGACGGUAAUACUCAAUAAAGUCGAGAGACCAAAGGUUUACUGCCGGAAGAGCGGCCGAUGCGAUAUUAGGUAGUUGGUGGGGUAAUGGCCUACCAAGCCUGAGAUGUCUAGGGGGUGUGAGAGCAUGGCCCCCCACCACUGGGACUGAGAUACUGCCCAGACACCUACGGGUGGCUGCAGUCGAGGAUCUUCGUCAAUGGGGCGAAAGCCUGAACGAGCGACGCCGCGUGGCGGGAUGAAGGCCCUUGGGUUGUAAACCGCUGUCAGGGGGGAUGAAACCGUAAGGUUGACAGAGCCCCAGAGGAAGCACGGGCUAAGUUCGUG
rnacentral:rRNA from 1 species